AUGUUCGGGGUGCUUAACACCCCUCCCCUGUACUUUGUUCUUUUUCCCCUCACUAUAAUGCAAAAGCAGAGCUCCUGCUGUUCCCGUCAAAAAAAAAAAAACAAAUACCUGUCAUCUGAAAUGAAGCAAUGUUUUGCAUUAUGUGGACUUUUCCAUAAGGAUUAUGAGAUGAAGAAGGAUAUGUUGAUCCAACUAUGGAUGGCAAAUGGCUUUAUUCAAGAAGAGGGAACAAUGGAUUUAGCACAGAAAGGAGAAUUCAUUUUUCAUGAAUUGCUUUGGAGGUCCUUCCUACAAGAUAUGAAAGCUGCAGCCAAAUCUACUGACUAUGCAUAUGGGACAAUUGUAUGUAAAAUGCAUGACUUAAUGCAUGACUUAGCCAAAGAUGUUAGCAAUGAAUGUGCCACCAUAGAAGAAUUGAUUGAACAGAAAGCAUUGGUAAACAAUGUAUGUCAUCUGCAAUUACCAAAAGUGGUUGAAUUGGAAAAGACUUCCAGGUUGUUUGAUGGCAAAACAUCUCUCCGCACUUUGUUAGCUCUUUCACGGAUGUAUCAAGAUUUUAAACGACUGCCACAUGUAUCAUUACGAGCAUUGCAUUGGCAGGGUUCUAGUACCAGUUUGAAAGCCGUAAAUGCAAAACAUUUACGGUACCUUGACCUCUCAUGUUGUAGCGUCAAUUCUACAUUGCUCGAUUCAAUAUGUCUAUUGUAUAACAUGCAAACUCUGAGGCUCAAUCAUUGCAAGGGGCUACGACAGUUUCCAGAAGACAUGGUGAUGAGCCUGAGAAAGCUCAUACAUAUUUCUCUUUAUGGAUGUUCUAAUCUGGAGCGGACGCCUCGAAACAUUGGUCAGCUGAACAACCUUCACACUCUAACAAGAUUUAUUGUGGAUACAAGAGAUGGUUGUGGUAUUGAAGAGCUCAAAUACCUGCUGACACCUUAG
rnacentral:rRNA from 1 species